AACGCUGGCGGCGUGCCUAAUCAUGCAACUCGAGCGGACAGAAGGGAGCUUGCUCCCGGAUGUUAGCGGCGGACGGGUGAGUAACACGUGGGUAACCUGCCUGUAAGACUGGGAUAACUCCGGGAAACCGGAGCUAAUACCGGAUAGUUCCUUGAACCGCAUGGUUCAAGGAUGAAAGACGGUUUCGGCUGUCACUUACAGAUGGACCCGCGGCGCAUUAGCUAGUUGGUGGGGUAAUGGCUCACCAAGGCGACGAUGCGUAGCCGACCUGAGAGGGUGAUCGGCCACACUGGGACUGAGACACGGCCCAGACUCCUACGGGAGGCAGCAGUAGGGAAUCUUCCGCAAUGGACGAAAGUCUGACGGAGCAACGCCGCGUGAGUGAUGAAGGUUUUCGGAUCGUAAAGCUCUGUUGUUAGGGAAGAACAAGUGCGAGAGUAACUGCUCGCACCUUGACGGUACCUAACCAGAAAGCCACGGCUAACUACGUGCCAGCAGCCGCGGUAAUACGUAGGUGGCAAGCGUUGUCCGGAAUUAUUGGGCGUAAAGGGCUCGCAGGCGGUUUCUUAAGUCUGAUGUGAAAGCCCCCGGCUCAACCGGGGAGGGUCAUUGGAAACUGGGAAACUUGAGUGCAGAAGAAGGAGAGUGGAAUUCCACGUGUAGCGGUGAAAUGCGUAGAGAUGUGGAGGAACACCAGUGGCGAAGGCGACUCUCUGGUCUGUACUGACGCUGAGGAGCGAAAGC
rnacentral:rRNA from 1 species